rnacentral:lncRNA from 10 species
GCCGGGGCCGGGGCCCCCCCUAACCACUGCCUCGCUCAGGCUGCCGAUCGGCUCGUUCUCUCUGCGUUGGGACCGCGGAGGGCAUUCGCUGUGUGACUCAGGGCAAGUGUGCGCACCUCUCUGAGCCUCCGCGGCCUUCUCUAGCAAAAUGGUGGAGCCGGUACCCGGCUGUAAGGCAAGCUGGGAUGCGCGGAGUAGCGGGUGGAAAGCUGGACUGGAGUUCUCACUCGGCCGCUGGGUGACUUCGGUGCACUAGGGAUAGUAACAGUACCACCUCGUAGGGUUGUAGAAAGACCAAGUGAGUUAAUAUUUGUAAAGUGUUUAGAACAGCGUCUACUGCAUGGAAAGUAGUAUUUAUUUGUUAGAGAGACUCCAGGAGGUCUUGCCCAGGGAUUGACUUCUCCCUUCCCUGUCUCCACCCCCCACAUUCCCGUUUGUGAGCCAAGCCUUGCUUUUGCACCGGCCGGGCUCUCUUGCCUGGAAAUGCAUACCCAUCUCAAACCUGGGCUUUAAAAUCACCUCCUCUGGGACGCCUUCCUCUACUUCUCACAGUUCAGGCCUGUUCUGCCCCACACAGCAGAAAAUGCCCACGAUGCAAUACCAGAGUCUGCAUGGGACCAUUUCAACAACCCUUAGAAGCUGACUCAGCUGUCUCCUGGCCCUGACUUUUCUAAGAUGAGAGGAGCUGGUAGGAACAAUUUGGGAACCCUCAAAGGCUGAGAGUAUCCCACCCACUUCACAGAUGAAGCAAACUGAGGCCCAGAGAAGGGAAAUUACUUGCCCAAGAUCACCCAGCAAGUAAGAAACAGAGCUGGAGAUGAGCUCAGGCCAGCACGGAACCACGCAAACUCCUUCUGUAGGCUUUGUAAAGGAUUGAUGAGAAAAGCAGAUGGUUAAGAGCUCUACAACUUCUGUGAGAGUCUUUGUUGCUAUCAUCAUCAUCAUCAUCAUCCUCAUCCUCAUCAUCAUCUACCUCCAGGGAUUCUUGGGGGGCUUAAACAAGGCAGGUUGUACAAAUUAUCUGGCACAGACGUCAUUAAAUAAUAACAGGGCAGAGUGACGGGUGCUGUGAUACAGGGAAGAGCUGGGAGAGACACAGGAAAGAGAAAAGACUUCUGUCUGGCUGGGUGGAAGAAGGGUGUGGAAGGUAUGGAAGCCAAGGGAAAACUUCCCCUUUGCCCUCUGAAGGUUCACUGAAAAGUCAACUGACAAAAGGCAGAUGAAUAGCAGAAAUGGCAUGCAAAUUUAUUAAUGCGCACACAGGGAGAACCACAGAGUGAUUGAUUACUCCCCACUCUGCAAUGGGGUGCAGAAGCUUAUAUGCCAUCUUGAGGUUACAGAAAGAAUGGGGGCUUGGGGCCUGAGCGCAGUGGCUCAUGCCUGUAUUCCCACCACUUUGGGAGGCCAAGGUGGGUGGAUCACCUGAGGUCAGGAGUUUGAGACCACCCUGACCAACAUGAAACCCCGUCUCUACUAAAAAUACAAAAAAUUAGCUGGGUGUUGUGGUGCGCACCUGUAAUUCCAGCUACUCGGGAGGCUGAGGCAGGAGAAUCACUUGAACCAGGGAUGCUGAGGUUGCACGAGCUGAGAUCGCACCGCUGCCCUCCAGCCUGGGCAACAAGAGCAAAAAAAAAAAAAAAAAAAAAAAAAAAGAAAGAAAGAAAUGAGGGAGGGAGGGAGGAAGGAAGGAAAGAAAGGGAGGCUUGGAUCCUGGCAAAACAGUUUAUGAGAUGGGGAGAAGAGGAGGCCUCCCUAGCAAAGGUGGUCUUGUUAUGUAGAUGAAAGCUCACAGAUAGCAGCUGUCAGAGAGAGUAGACCUUUGAAGGUACCAGACUCUCAUCAGUUAGUCUGUCCUAGAUCUGACAAGGGAAGGUCCGCAGAGGAAGCCUGCCUGCAUCAAUGCAGAUGUCCCUAUAGAUGCAGGUCUCCCCUACAAAAGACAGCUUUGCAGGCCUACUUCUGUUCCCAGGCUCUCUGAACAGCCAUCUCAAAAUAUGUCAAAGAAGUAUAUUUUGGGGUGAAAUAUUUUUAUUUGCUGCAAAGCCUCGCUCAAAGGACAUGUAGAAGUUCCCUGUGUAGAUGAGGGGAAGACAGAAAGAUGAACUUCUAUCAUCUUUGGUUGUGAGAGAGCAACCAAAGAUAAGGAACAUGGAGCAGUUUCAUGAGCUGCGUGCUUGGAGUGAAGGGCGUGAGGCUGCACGGGAGCACUGGGGCCAGAUUGCAGAGGGCUGGGAAUACCUUGCUGGAGGGUUUAAACUUGACCUGGUAGGUGAGGAGUUCUUUUAAUUUUUUUUUUUUUUUUGAGACAGAGUCUCGCUCUGUCACCCAGACUGGAGAACAAUGGCGCAAUCUCAGCUCACUGCAACCUCUGCCUCUCUGGUUCAACUGAUUCUCCUGCCUCAGCCUCCUCAGUAGCUGGGAUUACAGGCACACGCCACCACACCCGGCUAAUUUUUGUAUUUUUUACUAGAGACAGGGUUUCACCACGUUGGUCAGGCUGGUCUUGAUCUCCUGACCUCGUGAUCUGCCCGCCUCGGCCUCCCAAAGUGCUGGGAUUACAGGCGUGAGCCACCGUGCCCGGCUUUGGUGAGGAGUUCUUACCCGUCUAAAUGGCAGAAUCACCCAGGGCACUAAAAAUAAAUACUGUUUUAUGGUCCUGCCCAACAGUAUUCUAAGUCAGUAGGUCUCAAGUGGGACUCAUAAAUCUUUACAUUUUUCCUUCAACUUUUAUUUUAACUUCAGGGUUACAUGUGCAGGAUGUGCAGGUUUGUUACAUAGGUAAACGUGUGCCAUGAUGAUUUGCUGCACUGAUCAUUCCAUCACCUAGGUAUUAAACCCAGCAUCCAUUAGCUAUUCUUCCUGAUGCUUUCCCUCCCCCGAUCCUACCCCUAACAGCCCCCAGUGUGUGUUGUUUCCCCCUCCCCAAUGUGUCCAUGUGUUUUCAUCAUUCAGCUUAUAAGUGAGAACCUGCAGUGUUUGCUUUUCUGUUCCUGCAUUAGUUUGCUGAGGAUAAUGGCUUCCAACUCCAUCCAUGUCCCCACAAAGGACAUUAUCUUGUUCCUUUUUAUGGCUGCAUAGUAUUCCAUAGUGUAUAUUUGCCACAUUUUCUUUAUCCACUCCAUCCCAGAUGGGCAUUUAGAUUGAAGAAUCUUCACUUUUUAAAGCUUCUCAGGAAAUUCUGAUGCCCACCCAGAAUUGGGAACCUUUGCCAUGGAAGAGGGUGGGGGGAUAUCUUUAAACAGGAAUAGGGUCCAUUGAGAUGCCCACCCCAGACCUCCAAUAUAUGGGGAGAGAGCUUGAGAAGGUGGGAAGUGUGUGUAGGAGACUCUGACCCCCAGCCUUCCACCCCUCUCCAAAGCAGUCCCACACUCUGAUGUUUACCACCAGGGCUGACCCCUGGAAGUGCCUCUUCCCUAUAGCCCUCUGGAUCCAGCAAGGACAGACAGCCUUCCCUCCUUCCUUCCUUCUUCCCAACAGUUUUUGAGCCCCUCCACGAUGUGCUGAGCAUGCUGUUGGGUACUGAAAGUGAAUAAAAUAGGUAGUUUCUCCCCGCAACCUCCUGACCUAAAGCUUUGGGUGAUUCCUGCUGUUUUGGCUCUGCUAAGCAUGAAGUGCGUGUCAUCAGGCAUGUGGCUAAGCACAAGAGAGCUGGGACAGGAGUCCACCCUGGGGGCUCAAGCAGUGGCUGCAGGGCUCAGUGGUCCAGCCUCCAGGCCCUGUGGCUUCCUGGUUCCCCCUUCUCACAGGCCCGGUCUCUUGUCCUGGCUCUAGCCUUGCAGGCCAAACUCCCAGGCCGUGCCCUCGGUGCCCCCUACCAGGGGGGUCCUGGUGCAUGGGGUAGGAGUGAGCUGUGCAGCCGCCUUCCCACCUCAUCUUACACAGGAGACAACAACAUUGGGUAAGGUCUGAGCAACUCUUCCCAGGGGCAGGGUUAAGGAUCAUUUCCUCACAGGGGUAGCAGAAACAACAAACACAAGGAAAUGACAGGGAUGCCGAGGAUUUCAGAGCACACAGCUCCGGUCCAGGACGGACUCCCACAGAGAGAUGGGGGGAACGCUCCCGGGGCAGCUUCCUCACCUCCCUCUUGGAGUCGGCUCUUGUGUCUUCAUGCUGUGUUCUGUUGUUUCCUUUCAUCAGGAUCCCUUGCCCACACCAACCCCACCCACACCAUCACCGAUGGCACUGUUUCACUCGCUCAUUGCCAUUCAUUUACUUCUUCCUUUCUCAUUCAACACAUAGGUACCAUGUGCCAGGCACAGGAUAAAGCCAUAGGCAAUAUACAGCCUCAUGUGGUGUUCCCAGUUGGAUGGGGUCACCAACACAAUCAGACAGCUCUAAUAUAACAUGAUAAUUGCCACUGUGGAGUUGUGCAUAGGGUGUUAUAAAACCAAGGAGUAACCCAGGGAAGGCUGAUUCUUGAAGAAUGAGUAGGAAUUUAUGCAGCGCAUACCAAGCAGUGAGAAUAGCAAAUGCAAAGGCACGAAGUUUGUGAUGGCUACAGCAUGGCAGGUUCAGGGGAGCAGAGGGAGUGGAGGCAGGGAGAUGAGCAGGGGCAUCCAUGAAGGGCCUGGGAAGCUGGGCUGAAGAACUAGAACUUUCUGCCUUAGGCAGUGGGCAGCCAUUGGAGGAUUUUAGGGAGAGAAGGGACAUGGUCAGAUCUGCAUCUUUUUUUUUUUUUUUUUUUUUUUUUUUGAGAUGGAGUCUCACCCUGUCGCCCAGGCUGGAGUGCAAUGGCGCAAUCUCGGCUCACUGCAACCUCCACCUCCCGGUUCAAGCGAUUCUCCUGCCUCCCGAGUAGCUGGGAUUACAGGUGCCCGCCACCACGCCUGGCUCAUUUUUUGUAUCUUCAGUAGAGACGGGGUUUCACCAUGUUGGCCAGGCUGGUCUCCAACUCCUGACCGCCCGCCUUGGCCUCCCAAAGUGCUGGGAUUACAGGCGUGAGCCACCACACCCAGCCAGAUCUGCCUCUUAGAACAAUGCUAUGGAAGUUGAUUUUGGGGAAUGGGUGGAAGAGGCAGAGGUCAGGCAGAGUGUUCAAUAAAGAGGAUCAGACAGGCCAGGUAGGAGAAGCUGAUGCCUAGCCUAGGACAGGGCAGGUAGCUCAGCAAGUGUGAGCACCUCUCAGUGUAAGAGCUGAGGUGGGAGAGGGGCAGAUGGGCUGUGGAGCUGGCCACACUAAAGGCAGCUGUGUGUUUGCAGGGCUCAGGACCAAAGGGAGGCUGAGUCAGGAAGGCACUCCUGGGCUUCUGGCUUGAGCAGGCUCAAAGUCAACAGAUGCAGCUGCAUCUGUGUCUAGCGAUUGGGAAGGUCCACAGCAGGACUCCAGCUCAUACCUGGGAGUCAGGGCAAAGUCCAGCCUAGGGAAGAGCCCCCAAGAGCCAGGCUGGGUGUCAGGUGGGGCCCUUGUCCUGAAGGGAGAAGAGACUACAAGGUAGAGCACCAAGCACACCUGGCUCUGGCACCUUUACGUCUCUGGCCACUUCUCUCUUAUGGCUCCCUGUAACAAUGAGAUACGGACACCUGGAGGCACCUGGGGCUAGUUUCUUCCUCAUACCUGCCCCGCUCCGAUGAGGCUCCCUCCAGGCUCCGCAUCUUGACUUAGUUACAACCUGAUCCUGAGCUGGGACCCAAGGGUGUCCUGCUCCUGGCUCCAAUCUCCUGGUGAGGAUGAACUUUGGUUUGGCUCCACCUGCUCAAGUGCCUUCGGAAGUGUGCCCACCUUGCCAGCCUCGUCAGAAUGCAGUCUCAGGAUGAUGAAAGAGUUCAGGAAAUGCCACCCCAAGGUACGUCACUUUGGACUUCAAACUGAGAGCAUUUGAGGAACAGCAAAUGCAGGGAGGGACUUUCUCUGAACUUCCCUUAUCUGCUUCAAGAUAAAUCCUCCAAAAGGAACUCAAUGGUUAUAACUCCCCUCCCCAGGAACCUCAUCAACCAGAGAAGAGUAAACUCAGAUCACAGGACAGGAGACUGGGGGUCAACACCACCCCCAGACAGACUUUAUCACAUAUCACCUAUUCUUCUGAAGGCCCAUUCAUCUUUCCUCCAAAUCAUUUACUCUCUCCUAAGUUGCCUGAACCCUCCCUCCGCUCACCCCCUUUAAGAGGUAUAUAUGCUCUCACUGAGGUUUAGGACAUUUGCUUUUCUUUCAUGUGAUGCCCCCAUGCAUGUAGUAUAUUUGUGUACCUUUUCUUCUGUAACUCUUUCUUCUACUGUCAGUUUAUUUCAUAGAGUCAAUUACCGAACCCUCAGAGGGUAGAGGGGAAAUCUUCCCUCCCCUGCAGUGAUGCUCUGGGACUGCCAGACACCUGGUGUCUAAUAGACACCAGAACUCACUCCCAACAGCCCAUUUGGGCAAUUAGUCGCUCAUAUGAUAAACAUUUUUUUAAACCCCCAAAGUGUACCAGUCCUUGGACUGAAAGCUGGAUUUACAAGGUCAAAUCAGAUUCAGUCCUUGUGAUAGAAGAGUUCAUAAUACAGUGGAGCCAAACGCAUGAAACAUAACACAGCCUAUUACAACACAACGCGACAUGACAGCUUCACACAUCCCAACACAGGAUACAAGGGCUCAGGUCUGGUUUCUAACUUCUGGGGCCUCAGCUGAGAAAAGGGCAGCUCCCAGUGAAAGGAGGCUUAUUAAUUAGGGAGGGAGCUUAUUGGAAUGUCAGCAGUGGAAUGCAGAGGGGAAGAGACUCUAAGUCAGACUAGCUGCUUCAGUCCUGGCACCAUAAUCUUGGAUGGAUGACAGAACUCUCUGUGCCUUAGUUUCCACAUCUACAAAAUGGAGAGAAUAAUAGUGUGUAUGUCAUAGGGCUUAAGGAUUAAUUGAGAUAAUACACGCAAAGUGCCUGGCACAGUGCCUAGAAGGUAUAGCAAGCACAAUAGCAUUAGCUGUGUGGUUCUUGUUGCCAUAGAAUUAUAGAACCUGAUUAUACUCUUAGGUUCUUGGAGUCAGAGAACUGUAGAAUCAUAGAACCCUAGGACCUUAGAACCUUAGACAUAGAGGUUUAUAAAUAUAUAUAAAUAUAACGUGCACCAGAAUAUUAGCUAGGAGGGUGAAGAAGGGAGAUCUCCCCAUUCCUUCAGAUUGAGGCGAAAUGUCCUCUAAUGCCUGAGUUCCAGGGCUGUCACAUUCAGUUGCUCAGGUUGUACCUAAUAUACCUCUAAAGAAGGCCAUUCACAUAGACUUCGAUGUGAAUGGAGUUCCUUAGACGCAGCAUGACAUGCACCAUUGCGUGAGAAAGCCCACAUUUCUCCCAGAGAAGUCGGCUAAGUCCCAGGGGGCUUACACUUAGUACCAUAAUCUCUGCCUCCAGCAAAACAUGCUGGCUUUGUCCUGAGCCACACUGACCUGAAUGUGAUGAAACUGAAACUUGGAUUCCAUAUAAAAAUAAAAUCACUCCUGCACGUUGUGCACAUGUACCCUAAAAUUUAAAGUAUAAUAAUAAUAAAGUUAAAAAAAUAAAAAUAAAAAAAUAAAAUCACUCUCCUUAAGCAUUCCCAAGAGCAGAUUACACAGAGGUCCAGAAUGUUCUGGAGAGGUAUCACAUCUUGUGAAGCACAGCUUAUUGCUACCCAGAUGUACAAUGAGAUGUGAGCUAUUCCUCCCUGACCUGUCAUCUUUCUGCUCACUUCUCUCCCUCCCUCCCAAUUUGCUCCUCAGGAGCCCAGGCAUAAGCUAUCCCAGGCUCUUGGUGGGGUCUUAACUCAAAGCCCUUAUCAAAGCAUUUUCCUCAACAAAAGUAGUUCCUUUUCCUAACAGGAAUUUGGGCCAUAUGUUUAGGUUGUAAUUUUUGUAUGCCUUAUCAUAUUUAGUGCCACUUAUAAAACCUGAGACUCACAGAAUUUUAAUAGCAAAUAAUCUAAGAAACAAAAAUUUUGGAAUAACCCAGCCUAAGGACCACAAGUUCUAAGAAUUGUGGAGAAUUUCAGAAUCCCAAAAAUCUUAACAAUUAGAAGAGGCCUUAAGGGGUCAUUGAGUCCACACCUUAUUCAACACAGGCAUCUCCUCUGCAACAUUGCUGGCAAGUGCUGAUACUGCCUCUGCAACAACAACAAAAAAGCAUACUUCUGAGAAAAAUUGGAAGACAGCUUGUUAUCUGAACUAUGCGUAGACUUGAAUAAUCUAUUUUUGUUUUUUUUGAGAUGGAGUUUCGCUCUUGUUGCCCAGGCUGGAGUGCAAAGGUGCGAUCUCAGCUCACCGCAACCUCCGCCUCCCAGGUUCAAGCGAUUCUCCUGCCUCAGCCUCCUGAGUAGCUGGAAUUACAGGCAUGCACCACCACACCCAGCUAAGUUUGUAUUUUUGGUAUUCUUUGUAUUUUUAGUUUCUCCACGUUGGUCAGGCUGGCCUCGAACUCCCACCCUCAGGUGAUCCACCUGCCUUGGCCUCCUAAAGUUCUGGGAUUACAGGCAUGAGCCACUGCACCCAACCUGAAUAAUCUAUUAGAGUCUUUAUCUCUAAGAAGAGAAAUACAUCUGAACUAAAGGGUAAAAAAUGGCAUGUUUUAAUUGGUAAGUCUAAAUGCAAAACGAUGACAAUAAAAUUUUAAAGGACUGCUUCCUUCUUAAGCUUUAUUUUCGUCCUCUGUCAGUGUAUUGCUAGACUCAUCUUUCCCAGACACCCAGACCUCCCACGAGAGUAUGUACAUUCCAUUUGGCUUGAUUUCAAGUGCUAAUGUAUAAAGCUUCUGGGUUCUGGGUCUGGCAAGCUAUUUCUCAUGUUCUCUGAUAAAAUAUUGAAAACCAUCUCUAAGGUCUUCCAAGAGGGGAUAUGUGGAAGAUACAUUUCAAUUUUCCACUGCAUUUCAACCUUAAUAUAAUGUGAUUAGCUACAGCAUUGAAAAUUAGCUUAAUACUGGCCCAUCUUAUUAUAGGGGCCAAGGAAAAACUUUCCCUUUAUCCUCUGAAGGUCCACUGUAAUCAACUGACACAAAAGGCAGAUUAAUAGAAGAAAAGGCAUAACCAUUUUAUUUUAAUGUACAUAGCACAGGAGAACUGAAGGAGAAUGAUUACCCUGCUAUCUUAAUUUAAUUCCAAUGUGGUCUGAGAGCAGACAUUGUAUGGUUUCUAUUAUUAUAAAUUGGUUAAGCUGUGCUUUAUGGCCCAGAAUGCAGCCUGUCUUAGUGAAUGUUCUGUGGGAGCUUGAGACGAAUGUGUUUUCUGCUGUUGCUGGAUGAAGUAUUCUAUAGACACCAAUUAUAUCCAGUUGAUUGAUGGUGUUGUUGAGUUCAACUAUGUUCUUACUGAUUUUCUGCCUGCUGAAUCUGUCCAUUUCUCAGAGGGAUGCUGAAGUCUUCAGCUAUACUAGUGGAUUCAUCUAUUUCUCCUUGUAGGUCUGUCAGUUUUUGCCUCCAUAGUUUGCUGCUCUGUUGUUAGGCACAUACCCAUUAAGGAUUUAACUAUGUCUUCUUGGAGAAUUGACCCAUUUAUCAUUAUGUAAUGUCUCUCUUUAUCCCUGAUAAUUUUCCUUGCUCAGAAGUCUGCUCUGAAAUGAAUAUCGCUACUCUCACAUUCUUUUCAUUAGUGUUAACCUGUUAUAUCUUUCUCCAUCUCUUUACUUUUAAUCUAUAUGUGUCUUUGUAUUUAUUUUUUAUUUUUUUUUAAUUUUUUUUUUCUGUGGGGUCAGCCAGGAGAGAGGGGGGACAGGUGACUGGUCCAUCCCUGAGGCAAGGAUCCCAGCACCUACCAGGCUUCCCCCGAGACCAACACUCUGCAGCUCUGGGAGGAAGUGGAGAGCCCCAGAGUCUGGCGAACUUGGCAGGACGUGAGAGAACAGCUCAAGGGAGAACCAUUCCAGUCCCUUCCAUGGCCCCAGGAGGUGGGAGACAGGCCCUCCCCAUUCUGCAGGUGAGAAAGCAAGGCUCUGAGAGGGACAGUAGCUUAUAUAGGGGACACAGCACAGGCAGGUGGCAGAGGCAGAAAUAAAACCCUUGUGGGUGGAAGGCGCAGGUUCUUCCACCCCAUGGGAGUCCCACCAUGGCUGGCUAGGAGGCUGAGAUACCCACAAGGAAAAGCCUGAAGUGGCAGCAGAGCCUGGAGAUGGGGCUGAGGGAAGAAGGAGGAGGAGCGGGGAGAGGGAGACAGGUGUCUCAGGAGACAGAACCGCAGAGUGAGUUUAGUGCUUGGGGAUUAGGCUGACUGACCUGGCUUUGCCACUUACUAGCUACAUGUCCCUGGCAUAGGACCUAGUGUCUCUGAGCCUCAGUUUCUUCAUCCAAAAAAAUGGAAAUGGCACCACCACAGGGCUGCUGUGUCAUACGAGAAGGUACUGUGUGUGGGCGAUGCAUACUCUCUGCCCACUACCUAUGGGGCUGGGCUGCCCGCCCGGCUCGCAGUGGCACACCUGCACGACACCGAGCAGUGAGGAGCAGCGAGUCUUUGUUGAGAUGGGCUGCAAGCAGCCCUCUGGUCCAGAUGAACUCCCUCAG